GAACCAAGUCAAGCGCUUGUGCGCGCUGUCACGUGACGCCGACCGCGCCAUGUUUCCAUCUGCGCGUCAGAAGUUUGCGGGCAGGCAGGGCAAGGUAGCAACAGGAACAAAGUUUGGGACGGACUCCCUCGUUAGCUGAGCGGGUUUCUCCCGUAAAAUGAGCUAACAUUUUUUCAUCAACAAAAAAACCGAACACACCCGAUAACCAUCAGGAAGACAACGGACCCACAAACAGCAGUUUCUUAGAUGCUUUGGAAAAUUGCUAUAGUGAAGUGUGUGUAUGUGCUGGACUGUGCUUUUUUAGCAUAGUUUGGAGUGCCCCCGCCUCUUAAAAUGGCUUAAAGGUCCUCGUGUUGAUAUAUUUUAACAUUUAAGAUAGGGUAUUUUUGUUAGCUUCUAAUUUUUCACAAAUACAGCGAACUUUUAAUGAUAUAUUUUUGUGCCAAAAUACGCGGAUUUUCCACGAUCGCGCCCCCUGAUUGACAGGAGCGAAGGUGACGUUGGAUUUGAAGAAGUGGGACUCCUUUAAAAAAGUUAACAGAUUAACAUUCUAACGGAGGUAAACAGACGAGGACCUGGUGGACAAAAUGGCCACCAUGGCGUCACCUGGCGACGCUAUCGAGGGAGCAGCCAAUGAUGAGUUCAAUGACAUCAUCAAAUGGAGAUCUGAUGAGCACGAUGCAGUACAGAAGAAAACCUUCACCAAAUGGAUAAAUGCACAGUUCUCCAAGGUAAUGCCAAAGUGUGGUAGGCUAUAUCCGAGCCUGUUCACACAAAGGUUGCUUAGUUAAACCCACCAAUAACUUUAGUUAAACCCAUCACUAAUUUAACUUAAGCCCAUCACUAAUUUAAGUUAAACCCACCAAUUAUUUUUGUUAAAUCCACCAGCACCAGCUAAGAAAAAUAUUGUUCUGGAAACCUCCAACACUGAUGCUGAACUGAGCUAGGAGUUUGAAGACGGGCUGAAUGAAGUAGUGUGAGCAGGUUAUUUCUGUCCAAACAGACUGUUUCAGACUAAUAACUUCCCCUUUGAACACUAACCCUGACCUUCUCUUCCCAGGCCCAGGAGAAUAACAGAUUCACUGCAGGAAAGAAUAGAUAGCCUAGCGGAGCACUAAGAGGACAUUAGCAUGGCUGACUCCCCUAUUACAGUGUAUACAGGGAAAACGCUUCAACGCUAACUCAAUUUAGCUAUUGUCUUCUUGAUAAAUGAAUUGGUCUUCACUUGAGUCUGGUUAAUCUUCUCUGUGUUAAUCAGAAACAUGCUAAUGUAACAUUGAUGCUUCUGUCCCUCUCCUCGCCCCAACCUGGGCUCAAACCAGGGACCCUCGGUCUCCCACAAAGCAUUGUUACCUAUCACUCCAUAAGAGCCUUGGCCCUUGUAGAGCAAGAGUAACAACUGCUUCAAGGUUUCAGAGCAAGUGACGUCAACGAUUGAUACGCUACAAGCGCGUAGCGCUAACUAGCUAGCCAUUUCACACCAUUUACAUUAACGCACGCUAAUGCUGGUCUGAUAAUGGACCUUGUGUGUGUGGUCUUGUUUUAGCUAUGUUCCCUCACUCCCACAGGGUAGUUAACAGAAAUAUUUUAAACAUGCUUAUACAAUUUCACUAAUUAGUUUUCCAUAAAUACAUGUAUGGACUCUAGUUUUUUUCUUUUUCUCAUUCGCUCUCAUCUCUCUCUCUCUCUCUCUCUCUCCCCCCUUCUCCCUCUCCUUUUCUGUCUGUAGCCCCCCCCCUCUCUCUCGCUCCCCCUUCUCCCUCUCUUUUUCUCUCUGUAGCCCCCCCCUCUCUCGCUCUCCCCCUUCUCCCUCUCUUUUUCUCUCUGUAGCCCCCCUUUCUCUCUCUCUCCAACUUUAUUAUUCCUCUCCUCUGUUAGCUCUGUGUUUCCCUCCUCUCCUCUGUGUUUGUUAGCUCUGUGUGUUUCCCUCCUCUCCUCUGUGUUUGUUAGCUCUGUGUGUUUCCCUCCUCUCCUCUGUGUUUGUUAGCUCUGUGUGUUUCCCUCCUCUCCUCUGUGUUUGUUAGCUCUGUGUGUUUCCCUCCUCUCCUCUGUGUUUGUUAGCUCUGUGUGUUUCCCUCCUCUCCUCUGUGUUUGUUAGCUCUGUGUGUUUCUCUCCUCUCCUCUGUGUUUGUUAGCUCUGUGUUUCCCUCCUCUCCUCUGUGUCUGUUAGCUCUGUGUUUCUCUCCUCUCCUCUGUGUUUGUUAGCUCUGUGUGUUUCUCUCCUCUCCUCUGUGUUUGUUAGCUCUGUGUGUUUCUCUCCUCUCCUCUGUGUUUGUUAGCUCUGUGUGUUUCCCUCCUCUCCUCUGUGUUUGUUAGCUCUGUGUGUUUCCCUCCUCUCCUCUGUGUUUGUUAGCUCUGUGUGUUUCCCUCCUCUCCUCUGUGUUUGUUAGCUCUGUGUGUUUCCCUCCUCUCCUCUGUGUUUGUUAGCUCUGUGUGUUUCUCUCCUCUCCUCUGUGUUUGUUAGCUCUGUGUUUCCCUCCUCUCCUCUGUGUCUGUUAGCUCUGUGUUUCUCUCCUCUCCUCUGUGUUUGUUAGCUCUGUGUGUUUCUCUCCUCUCCUCUGUGUUUGUUAGCUCUGUGUGUUUCUCUCCUCUCCUCUGUGUUUGUUAGCUCUGUGUGUUUCUCUC
rnacentral:lncRNA from 1 species